GAAGAAUCGAAACACGUGAGACGCUACGCGUGAAGUGCUUAUUAAAACUAGCUUUUUUCUUGAUUCAUUAUUUGAUUUUAACGGUGAUAAUUUGAUUUGGUGCGUGAUGCCUUCCACGAAAAAAUUGCCUAACAUCUGCUGAAGUAUCAGAUCAGGAUUUUGAUUAUAACGAGUCUCAUACGGUGUUUUGGCCAAAUCGUCCAAUUAAAAGUAGUACUGAACAGGAUGUUAUCAAAUCGAAACAGUGUGCCAAAAUACUGUUGUUCAUUAAUGAUACAUCAAUUGUGAAACAGUAUCGUGACCAAUUGUCAGAUGAAAUUGUUUCUGUUGAGUUGUUUCACUAAAUAAGAAUGAAGGUUUGGGAGAAAUCAACAGCUGUUGAAGAAUCCUGCGCAGGUGGAGCAAGCAGACAGUCAAGGCGUUUGAAAGAAAGAAAGCAAUAUGGAGCAUCCGAAGAAGAACAUGAUGACCAAUCAAAGAAAAACUCUUCAAAUUCUUCUCUAUUGACCACCCACCCACCACCCAAAAAAAGCAGAAAGGCUUGUGAGUCCUUCAAUAACGAAAAUACGUUGGCAAAAAUUGUUCAACAAAAGAGUCUAUUAUGUAACAACACUCAACGGGAUAAGCCUGGUAGCCCGCCACCCACUGUUACUGUUGCUGAGAUUCAUGCUGAGCCAAUUUCGUUAUCGGGAAAGUCAAGGAAAAGAAGCCAUUCGGUGUAUUCCGACAAGGAAGAACGCAAUGAUGAUGGUUCCACCUCUGAAAGCAAUUCAGGCUGCUUCACGUUACAAAAACUAACGCCAGCAAAGAAAAAUAUUAUUUUGAAGUAAAAACAAGCGUAGUGUCCAAUACUUCAGUAUGCAAUAAAUCGUGUGAUUUUCAAUUAAUUUCAGUUAGUGUCGUAUACAAUAAAUCAUACCAGAAACAUAAAAUUACCACUCACUUUGUUACUAAAUA